rnacentral:rRNA from 1 species
UACGUAGGGUGCAAGCGUUGUCCGGAAUUAUUGGGCGUAAAGAGCUCGUAGGCGGUUUGUCGCGUCUGCUGUGAAAACUCGGGGCUUAACUCCGGGCCUGCAGUGGGUACGGGCAGACUAGAGUGCGGUAGGGGAGACUGGAAUUCCUGGUGUAGCGGUGAAAUGCGCAGAUAUCAGGAGGAACACCGGUGGUGUAGACGGCUCUCUGGACCGUAACUGACGCUGAGGCACGAAAGCGUGGGUAGCAAACAGG